UCACUGCCCUGCCCAGAAAGGGACCAGGCACUGAGACUCUGUGUUCCUGGGUCCUUUCUGAGUAGAGUACGGAU
rfam:Otolemur garnettii contig090507, whole genome shotgun sequence.